rnacentral:rRNA from 1 species
AUUGAACGCUGGCGGCAGGCCUAACACAUGCAAGUCGAACGAGUGGCGGACGGGUGAGUAAUGUCUGGGAAACUGCCCGAUGGAGGGGGAUAAAAACUGGAAACGGUAGAUAAAACCGCAUACCAUAGGCUGUGCCCAGAUGGGAUUAGCUAGUAGGUGGGGUAACGGCUCACCUAGGCGACGAACCCUAGCUGGACUGGGAGGAGUACCAGCCACACUGGAACUGAGACACGGCCCAGACUCCUACGGGAGGCAGCAGUGGGGAAUAUUGCACAAUGGGCGACAGCCUGAUGCAGCCAGGCCGCGUGUAUGAAGAAGGCCUUCGGGUUGUAAAGUGCUUUCAGCGAGGAAGCGUUACUCGCAGAAUAAGCCCCGGCUAACUCCGUGCCAGCAGCCGCGGUAAUUC